rnacentral:rRNA from 1 species
GACGAACGCUGGCGGCGUGCUUAACACAUGCAAGUCGAGCGGUAAGGCCCUUUCGGGGGUACACGAGCGGCGAACGGGUGAGUAACACGUGGGUGACCUGCCCUCAGCUCUGGGAUAAGCCUGGGAAACCGGGUCUAAUACCGGAUAUGACUCCAUGACGCAUGUUGUGGGGUGGAAAGCCUUGUGCGGCUGAGGAUGGGCCCGCGGCCUAUCAGCUUGUUGGUGGGGUGAUGGCCUACCAAGGCGACGACGGGUAGCCGGCCUGAGAGGGCGACCGGCCACACUGGGACUGAGACACGGCCCAGACCCCUACGGGAGGCAGCAGUGGGGAAUCUUGCGCAAUGGGCGAAAGACCUGACGCAGCGACGCCGCGUGAGGGA